AAGCGGAGGAAAAGAAACCAACAGGGAUUGCCUCAGUAACGGCGAGUGAAGCGGCAAGAGCUCAAAUUUGAAAUCUGACCUUUCAGGUCCGAGUUGUAAUUUGUAGAGGAUGUUUCGGGUAAGAUCCAGGCCUAAGUUCCUUGGAACAGGAUGUCAUAGAGGGUGAGAAUCCCGUACGUGGCUCAUGAUCGCACCCAUGUGAAACUCCUUCGACGAGUCGAGUUGUUUGGGAAUGCAGCUCAAAAUGGGUGGUAAAUUUCAUCUAAAGCUAAAUAUUGGCCAGAGACCGAUAGCGCACAAGUAGAGUGAUCGAAAGAUGAAAAGCACUUUGAAAAGAGAGUUAAAAAGCAUGUGAAAUUGUUGAAAGGGAAGCGCUUGCAGCCAGACUUGUUUAUAGGGUUCAGCCGUCGUUCUCGUCGGUGUAUUUCCCUAUCAUCAGGCCAGCAUCAGUUUGGGUGGAAGGUCAAAGGCCUUGGGAAUGUACCAUCCUCCGGGAUGACUUAUAGCCCUCGGUGUAAUGUUUCCUACCUAGACUGAGGCACGCGUUCGCUAGGAUGCUGGCGUAAUGGCUGUAAGCGACCCGUCUUGAAACACGGACCAAGGAGUCUAACAUCUAUGCGAGUAUUUGGGUGUCAAACCCAUAUGCGUAAUGAAAGUGAACGGAGGUGGGAACCUUUUAGGCGCACCAUCGACCGAUCCAGAUGUCUUCGGAUGGAUUUGAGUAAGAGCAUAGCUGUUGGGACCCGAAAGAUGGUGAACUAUGCCUGAAUAGGGUGAAGCCAGAGGAAACUCUGGUGGAGGCUCGCAGCGGUUCUGACGUGCAAAUCGAUCGUCAAAUUUGGGUAUAGGGGCGUACUUUCGCCCCUGAUAUAACCAUUAGUCCUCCGGGGCAAGGCUUGUGGUCUGCAGGAAUUGACACAGUCAUACCUGCCCCCAUCAAAGAUGGGUCACAGAUCAAGUACAUGCCGGCAUGACCUAACCCGUAGGUCUGUUCUAGAUAUGAUCGGGAUUCAAGUUUGGGCUUGAAUAGCGCCGGAAAGACUAAUCGAACC
rnacentral:rRNA from 1 species